rnacentral:rRNA from 1 species
UCAGGACGAACGCUGGCGGCACGCUUAACACAUGCAAGUCGAACGGUGAAAUAGAGCUUGCUCUAUGGAUCAGUGGCGGACGGGUGAGUAACACGUGAGCAAUCUGCCUUUAAGAGGGGAAUAGCAACUGGAAACGGUUGGUAAUACCGCAUAACAUAUACGGACCGCAUGAUCUGUAUAUCAAAGAUUUAUCGCUUAAAGAUGAGCUCGCGUCUGAUUAGCUAGUUGGUGAGGUAACGGCCCACCAAGGCGACGAUCAGUAGCCGGACUGAGAGGUUGAACGGCCACAUUGGGACUGAGACACGGCCCAGACUCCUACGGGAGGCAGCAGUGGGGAAUAUUGCACAAUGGGCGCAAGCCUGAAUGCAGCGAUGCCGCGUGAGGGAAGAAGGUUUUCGGAUUGUAAACCUCUGUUGACAGGGACGAUUAUGACGGUACCUGUUCAGAAAGCUCCGGCUAACUACGUGCCAGCCGCCGC